rnacentral:rRNA from 1 species
GGAAUUGUUCGCAAUGGGCGCAAGCCUGACGACGCAACGCCGCGUGGAGGAUGAAGAUCUUCGGGUCGUAAACUCCUUUCGAUCGAGACGAAUGGCCUCCGGGUGAACAAUCCGGAGGAGUGACGGUACCGAGAGAAGAAGCCCCGGCUAACGCCGGGCCAGCAGCCGCGGUAAUACGGGGGGGGCAAGCGUUGUUCGGAAUUACUGGGCGUAAAGGGCUCGUAGGCGGCCAACUAAGUCAGACGUGAAGUCCCUCGGCUCAACCGGGGAACUGCGUCUGAGACUGGAUGGCUCGAGUCCGGGAGAGGGAUGCAGAAUUCCAGGUGUAGCGGUGAAAUGCGUAGAUAUCUGGAGGAAUACCGGUGGCGAAGGCGGCAUCCUGGACCGGCAUUGACGCUGAUGAGCGAAAGCCAGGGGAGCAAA